rnacentral:rRNA from 1 species
UACAGAGGGUGCGAGCGUUAAUCGGAAUUACUGGGCGUAAAGCGCGCGUAGGCGGCUUUUCAAGUCGGAUGUGAAAUCCCCCGGGCUUAACCUGGGAACUGCAUUCGAGACUGUCUAGCUAGAGUAUGGGAGAGGGAAGUGGAAUUUCAGGUGUAGCGGUGAAAUGCGUAGAUAUCUGAAGGAACAUCAGUGGCGAAAGCGACUUCCUGGACCAAUACUGACGCUCAUGUGCGAAAGCGUGGGGAGCAAACAGG